GACGAACGCUGGCGGCGUGCCUAAUACAUGCAAGUCGAACGAACUCUGGUAUUGAUUGGUGCUUGCAUCAUGAUUUACAUUUGAGUGAGUGGCGAACUGGUGAGUAACACGUGGGAAACCUGCCCAGAAGCGGGGGAUAACACCUGGAAACAGAUGCUAAUACCGCAUAACAACUUGGACCGCAUGGUCCGAGCUUGAAAGAUGGCUUCGGCUAUCACUUUUGGAUGGUCCCGCGGCGUAUUAGCUAGAUGGUGGGGUAACGGCUCACCAUGGCAAUGAUACGUAGCCGACCUGAGAGGGUAAUCGGCCACAUUGGGACUGAGACACGGCCCAAACUCCUACGGGAGGCAGCAGUAGGGAAUCUUCCACAAUGGACGAAAGUCUGAUGGAGCAACGCCGCGUGAGUGAAGAAGGGUUUCGGCUCGUAAAACUCUGUUGUUAAAGAAGAACAUAUCUGAGAGUAACUGUUCAGGUAUUGACGGUAUUUAACCAGAAAGCCACGGCUAACUACGUGCCAGCAGCCGCGGUAAUACGUAGGUGGCAAGCGUUGUCCGGAUUUAUUGGGCGUAAAGCGAGCGCAGGCGGUUUUUUAAGUCUGAUGUGAAAGCCUUCGGCUCAACCGAAGAAGUGCAUCGGAAACUGGGAAACUUGAGUGCAGAAGAGGACAGUGGAACUCCAUGUGUAGCGGUGAAAUGCGUAGAUAUAUGGAAGAACACCAGUGGCGAAGGCGGCUGUCUGGUCUGUAACUGACGCUGAGGCUCGAAAGUAUGGGUAGCAAACAGGAUUAGAUACCCUGGUAGUCCAUACCGUAAACGAUGAAUGCCAAGUGUUGGAGGGUUUCCGCCCUUCAGUGCUGCAGCUAACGCAUUAAGCAUUCCGCCUGGGGAGUACGGCCGCAAGGCUGAAACUCAAAGGAAUUGACGGGGGCCCGCACAAGCGGUGGAGCAUGUGGUUUAAUUCGAAGCUACGCGAAGAACCUUACCAGGUCUUGACAUACUAUGAAAAUCUAAGAGAUUAGACGUUCCCUUCGGGGACAUGGAUACAGGUGGUGCAUGGUUGUCGUCAGCUCGUGUCGUGAGAUGUUAGGUUAAGUCCCGCAACGAGCGCAACCCUUAUUAUCAGUUGCCAGCAUUAAGUUGGGCACUCUGGUGAGACUGCCGGUGACAAACCGGAGGAAGGUGGGGAUGACGUCAAAUCAUCAUGCCCCUUAUGACCUGGGCUACACACGUGCUACAAUGGAUGGUACAACGAGUUGCGAACUCGCGAGAGUAAGCUAAUCUCUUAAAGCCAUUCUCAGUUCGGAUUGUAGGCUGCAACUCGCCUACAUGAAGUCGGAAUCGCUAGUAAUCGCGGAUCAGCAUGCCGCGGUGAAUACGUUCCCGGGCCUUGUACACACCGCCCGUCACACCAUGAGAGUUUGUAACACCCAAAGUCGGUGGGGUAACCUUUUAGGAACCAGCCGCCUAAGGUGGGACAGAUGAUUUGGGUG
rnacentral:rRNA from 1 species